rnacentral:rRNA from 1 species
AUUGAACGCUGGCGGCAUGCCUUACACAUGCAAGUCGAACGCUUCACUUCGGUGAAGAGUGGCGAACGGGUGAGUAAUACAUAAGUAACCUGGCAUCUACAGGGGGAUAACUGAUGGAAACGUCAGCUAAGACCGCAUAGGUGUAGAGAUCGCAUGAACUCUAUAUGAAAAGUGCUACGGGACUGGUAGAUGAUGGACUUAUGGCGCAUUAGCUGGUUGGUAGGGUAACGGCCUACCAAGGCGACGAUGCGUAGCCGACCUGAGAGGGUGACCGGCCACACUGGGACUGAGACACGGCCCAGACUCCUACGGGAGGCAGCAGUAGGGAAUUUUCGGCAAUGGGGGAAACCCUGACCGAGCAACGCCGCGUGAAGGAAGAAGUAAUUCGUUAUGUAAACUUCUGUCAUAGAGGAAGAACGGUGGAUAUAGGGAAUGAUAUCCAAGUGACGGUACUCUAUAAGAAAGCCACGGCUAACUACGUGCCAGCCGCCGCAGUAAGAC